AACGAACGCUGGCGGCAUGCCUAACACAUGCAAGUCGAACGAGACCUUCGGGUCUAGUGGCGCACGGGUGCGUAACGCGGGGGAAGCUGCACUUAGGUACGGAAUAACUCCCCGAAGGGGGUGCUAAUACCGGAUAAUGUAUUCGGACAAAAGAUUUAUCGCCUUUGGAUGGGCCCGCGUUGGCUUAGCUAGUUGGUAGGGUAAAAGCCUACCAAGGAGACGAUCCAUAGCUGGUCUGAGAGGAUGAUCCGCCACACUGGGACUGAGACACGGCCCAGACUCCUACGGGAGGCAGCAGUGUGUAAUAUUGGACAAUGGGCGAUGGCCUGAUCCAGCAAUGCCGCGUAAGUGAUGAAGGCCUUCGGGUUGUAAAGCUCUUUUACCCGGGAUGAUAAUGACGGUACCGGGAGAAUAAGCACCGGCUAACUCCGUG
rnacentral:rRNA from 1 species